rnacentral:rRNA from 1 species
GACGAACGCUGGCGGCGUGCCUAAUACAUGCAAGUAGAACGCACAGUUUAUACCGUAGCUUGCUACACCAUAGACUGUGAGUUGCGAACGGGUGAGUAACGCGUAGGUAACCUGCCUGGUAGCGGGGGAUAACUAUUGGAAACGAUAACUAAUACCGCAUAAUAUUGAUUAUUGCAUGAUAAUUGAUUGAAAGAUGCUAUUGCAUCACUACCAGAUGGACCUGCGUUGUAUUAGCUAGUAGGUGAGGUAACGGCUCACCUAGGCGACGAUACAUAGCCGACCUGAGAGGGUGAUCGGCCACACUGGGACUGAGACACGGCCCAGACUCCUACGGGAGGCAGCAGUAGGGAAUCUUCGGCAAUGGACGAAAGUCUGACCGAGCAACGCCGCGUGAGUGAAGAAGGUUUUCGGAUCGUAAAGCUCUGUUGUAAGAGAAGAACGGGUGUGAGAGUGGAAAGUUCACACUGUGACGGUAUCUUACCAGAAAGGGACGGCUAACUACGUG